rnacentral:rRNA from 1 species
CAGAGGGUGCGAGCGUUGUCCGGAAUCACUGGGCGUAAAGGGCGCGUAGGCGGCUUUUCAAGCGUGCGGUGAAAGCUCGGGGCUUAACUCCGAGUCUGCCGUGCGAACUGGGAGGCUUGAGUCUGGUAGAGGUCGAUGGAAUUCCGGGUGUAGCGGUGGAAUGCGUAGAGAUCCGGAAGAACACCGGUGGCGAAGGCGGUCGACUGGGCCAGUACUGACGCUGAGGCGCGACAGCGUGGGGAGCAAACAGGAUUAGAUACCCUGGUAGUCCACGCCGUAAACGAUGGGCACUAGGUCCUUGGGGGAGCGACCCCUUGAGGGCCGGCGCUAACGCAUUAAGUGCCCCGCCUGGGGAGUACGGCCGCAAGGCUG